GCUCAGGUGGGUCAUCGGCCCCGGCCCGCUGGCAGGCAACCCUUCCACUGCGACGGGGUGCCCCGGGUGACGACCAGGUCCCGCCCCGGGCGGUGGGGCAAGUGCGGUCU
rnacentral:ncRNA from 2 species